UCAGCUCGUGUUGUGAAAUGUUGGGUUAAGUCCCGCAACGAGCGCAACCCUUAUCCUUUGUUGCCAGCGGUUAGGCCGGGAACUCAAAGGAGACUGCCAGUGAUAAACUGGAGGAAGGUGGGGAUGACGUCAAGUCAUCAUGGCCCUUACGACCAGGGCUACACACGUGCUACAAUGGCAUAUACAAAGAGAAGCGACCUCGCGAGAGCAAGCGGACCUCAUAAAGUAUGUCGUAGUCCGGAUUGGAGUCUGCAACUCGACUCCAUGAAGUCGGAAUCGCUAGUAAUCGUAGAUCAGAAUGCUACGGUGAAUACGUUCCCGGGCCUUGUACACACCGCCCGUCACACCAUGGGAGUGGGUUGCAAAAGAAGUAGGUAGCUUAACCUUCGGGAGGGCGCUUACCACUUUGUGAUUCAUGACUGGGGUGAAGUCGUAACAAGGUAACCGUAGGGGAACCUGCGGUUGGAUCACCUCCUUA
rnacentral:rRNA from 1 species